CGGGAUGACGGCCUUCGGGUUGUAAACCGCUUUUGAUUGGGAGCAAGCGAGAGUGAGUGUACCUUUCGAAUAAGCACCGGCUAACUACGUGCCAGCAGCCGCGGUAAUACGUAGGGUGCAAGCGUUAUCCGGAUUUAUUGGGCGUAAAGAGCUCGUAGGCGGUUCGUCGCGUCUGGUGUGAAAGUCCAUCGCUUAACGGUGGAUCGGCGCCGGGUACGGGCGGACUGGAGUGCGGUAGGGGAGACUGGAAUUCCCGGUGUAACGGUGGAAUGUGUAGAUAUCGGGAAGAACACCGAUGGCGAAGGCAGGUCUCUGGGCCGUCACUGACGCUGAGGAGCGAAAGCGUGGGGAGCGAACAGGAUUAGAUACCCUGGUAGUCCACGCCGUAAACGGUGGAUGCUGGAUGUGGGGCCCGUUCCACGGGUUCCGUGUCGGAGCUAACGCGUUAAGCAUCCCGCCUGGGGAGUACGGCCGCAAGGCUAAAACUCAAAGAAAUUGACGGGGGCCCGCACAAGCGGCGGAGCAUGCGGAUUAAUUCGAUGCAACGCGAAGAACCUUACCUGGGCUUGACAUGUGCCGGACGGCCGCGGAGACGCGGCUUCCCUUCGGGGCCGGUUCACAGGUGGUGCAUGGUCGUCGUCAGCUCGUGUCGUGAGAUGUUGGGUCAAGUCCCGCAACGAGCGCAACCCUCGCCUCGUGUUGCCAGCACGUUAUGGUGGGAACUCACGGGGGACCGCCGGGGUUAACCCGGAGGAAGGUGGGGAUGACGUCAGAUCAUCAUGCCCCUUACGUCCAGGGCUUCACGCAUGCUACAAUGGCCGGUACAACGGGAUGCGACAUGGUGACAUGGAGCGGAUCCCUGAAAACCGGUCUCAGUUCGGAUCGGAGCCUGCAACCCGGCUCCGUGAAGGCGGAGUCGCUAGUAAUCGCGGAUCAGCAACGCCGCGGUGAAUGCGUUCCCGGGCCUUGUACACACCGCCCGUCAAGUCAUGAAAGUGGGCAGCACCCGAAGCCGGGGCCCA
rnacentral:rRNA from 1 species